rfam:Planctopirus limnophila DSM 3776 chromosome, complete genome.
GGCUCUGUAGCUCAACGGUUAGAGCAGAGGACUCAUAAUCCUUUGGUUCUGGGUUCGAAUCCCAGUGGAGCCA